rnacentral:lncRNA from 1 species
UGAAGGGUCAAAAAGGCAAAGGGUGUUUUAGAAGUUUAGCAGACAGCUUUUGGUACAAGGAAAAGAGAGGGAGAGCUGGAGAGAGGGAAACAGGGUGAAGAGGCAGGAAUCUGGCUCGCAUUAAGCUGGGAGGUUCCAACCAUUGAUUCGCUCUGGAAUUAUGGCUUAAAAAAAUUGCAAGACAUGGUUUAUUCAUGAGGGUUCUUUUUUUUUCUUAAGUAGCCACCCAAAGUUACACUUUGGUUCACCAAGACGAAGACUCAUCCUUCCUCUCUCUAUGGAUCUUUCAGAUGAAGAAAUUAAGGCUCAGGAGGGAGGAAAAAAAUAAAAGAAAGAAUUGUCCAAGGUCACCAAGGCAUCUGGACUCCCAUAUGUUGAGCUACUUCUGCUUGUGGGGCAGCUGCAAUACAUGAAUUCUUCACUACGUUCACGAGUGCCCUGAAUUCCAUCCACAGAGCUAUUGGAUGUUUGGAGCCCAGGUGAAGAUCCCAGAGCUGGGGAACGAAAGGUUGGAAAAGCCCAGCCAGCUGUGCAAGCCUCCAGAGACACUCUCUUGACUGCGGUGAGGUGCCUGCCACAAAACCCCUAGCUCCCUGCUCUUCAACCUCUGGCUUUGGCGGCAGGUGAACCAGUUAGCCAUGCCAGGAGGCAGAAAGGGCAGAACGCAGAGCCUGCCUUUUGAAGCCUUUUGCUUCCUUUGAUGUGCAGAUUUUAUCAAGGUCCUUUCUGGAGUUGGGCAAAUCCCAGUUGCCUUCUUCAAAUCCUCCUUUUGAGAAUAUUUCCAGAGAAUCCCCAAACCGCUCUCCUAUGGUUUAUUUUAGGCUGCUUACUUGCUUGCAUUCAUUUAUUUACUUAUUUAUUUAUUUUGCAGAGGAAAGUGAUAGCCUGCUGGGCUGGACCUGGACUUUGAGACAGAACUUUCGAAUCCGAAGAAGAGAUGAUUUUCAGAUAGUCCUCCUUCCAGGUCAGGUUUAAGAAAAAUAGUGAAGGGAAAUAUUAAUAAACAUGAUCAAAAUAUUCAUGUGUAAUAAUUAAGCAAUUCAGCGCCUUGAACUUAACAGGUUUAAGUUGAAAUUCCUUAGUGGAUACGUGAUUUUAGAGAAGUGGAUUAAACUUUCUAAACUUCUCUUUACAUAUAAGGAAACCGAGGCAGGCUCAGAGAAGCUAAGUAGCUCUUUUGAGUCCACACAGCUAGUAAGGGGAUGCUGAGAGUAGAAUGCAGGUCCAUCUGACUAUAUGACUAUCUGGCUGAGGAAGGAAGAGAGGCUGCUGCUCUGCAGUACCCUACCAACAAGGACAAUAAUAACCAGAGCAACAGUAGCUACCCCUAAAGAAACACGGACUCCAUGCUAGGCACUAUAGCAGGCAUUUCAAUGAGUUUUCUUUCAUCCUCCCAAUGGCCCUGCGAGGUAGGGAUGAUUCCCCACUUUCCACUAAAGAGAAUCCUGAGAUCAGAGAGGUGAGAUGAUUUUUGCAAAGUCACACAGCCAUGGAUGGCAAAACCCAGGUCUGGCCGAGCCAGGAAACUUUCCUCAACCAUGUCCAGAAGUAAAGUUCCUGAGGCCUCUCUUGGAGAUAGGGAAUUAUGAUUUCCAAAGCAGAACUCCAAACAGUUCCACUCUGAAUGAGUUGACAGUGGCAAUUGGUCCCUUGAGAUAAAAGUCAACAAUGGCUAUGCUGAAGCUAUAGCAUUGAGGGAAGGGAUCUUGAACUUUGGAAUAGGCCAAAGAAGGAGGAGGCAAGGGAGGACCUGAAAUGCGCUGGAAGAAGGCAUUCAGCAACCUCAUAGCUUUCCAGCGCUUGCUAGGGCUGCAGGAAUGAAACGAGGCUGUGGCUUCUUUCCAAGCUGACCUGAAGGCUGCAAGAUGUGAUGGCUGUUGCCGGAGAUGUUCUUUGACACAGCUACCAGCAUUGCAGAAGCAUGACAAUAUCUCCAGCAUCACCUUCCUGAGUCCAAAACUCUGUAAAUUUGAACUCAGAGAGAGACACAAGAUCCCAGCAUGAUGCUCCUAUGGUACUGUGGGACCUGGAUUGGGACUUAGAAUCCCAUGCAAGGGUAUGAGUCUUGUCCAUUCUCCCAGCCUCCCUUGCAGCCCAGAGCUCACAUCUGCAGCCCAUCUGGCUAGGCUUAGGAGUGCAGUCCACGGUCAGGGAAAAGGAAGUCUCUCUGUGUGUAUUUCAGGCCUGGCCUGGACAGCCUAACACUCCUCCCAGGCCAAGAUCAGCGGAUAAAAUCAGUCCAAUGAGCUGCUUGUCAGAGAAGCUUCUGGCCUUGACUUUCAGAUUCCUGAGUCAUCUCUCCUUGGGCCUAUCCUCUGUUGGACUUCCUUGCAGGGGCCUUUGAUGAACAGAUGAGAUAAUAGAUAUGCUUUGAAAAAGAUAAAAUGCUGAACAAAGUGUUUUGCUGGCCACUGCAAUGAGUGCCAUGGAUUGGUUAAACCUUGAAUCUCCUUCCUGUCCAAGGGCAAAGACUUCUCCCAACCUCUGCAUCUCUAAGACAGCCAGUUUGUGUGGUGACAAGCACCCUGCACCCCCCAACCACUCAGGGUAAUAAACUCAGCAGCCAUUAGUAACAACAGUUAGAAGAUGGGCUUAUAUGUUAGGCACAUUUCAUCCACCAACCAAUGGAAUCAUCAAAACAAGCAUGAAAUAGGGGUAUGGAUUUUCCCACUCUAUGGACAAAAAACCCUGAUGCAUGGGGAAGUCAAAAAACAUGCCCAAGAUCUUACAGCUACUUGGUACAGAUUUAGGAUUUGGACCCAAGCCUACUCAUUCCAAUCUCCAACAAAACAUGAGGGAUUUAGCGAUGAUGUCCUCAGCUAGAAUAAAAUAUAACACAAUUGGAACAAGAAACAUGUGGUUUGACAAACAUGUCCCUGAUAGCUCUUCCAAAUUUGCAGAAAAUAUGACUUUUCCUCAUCACUGCAGCUGGAGAUCUUGGCGUGAGUUGUAUGAAGUGGAGGUUCCGCUGCAGGGAGAUGCGAGAUCAUAGCAUUAUUCUGUUGGCUGAGACCUUGAUGGUUAUUUAGGGCCAGCAAACCCUUCACAAUAGUCACGCCAAGAGCUGUCCAGCCAAUGCUUGGACACUUGCAGAGAUGAGGAACUUAUUCCUGCAAGGUGGUUUAGUCUAGUCCCAGAUAUCUCAUCAUUAUUUAUCACUCCUUUGGGCAAAUUGAUGACAGGAUGUAUUAAAAUUGAAAACGUGCUCUUCCUACUGUCCAGCAAGUACACCCUUACAGAGAUGCGGGAGGAGGGUAAAGAGGGUUUCACAGCUACACUGUAUUAGCAAAA